rnacentral:rRNA from 1 species
GAUGAACGCUGGCGGCGUGCCUAAUACAUGCAAGUCGAGCGAACAGAUGAGGAGCUUGCUCCUCUGACGUUAGCGGCGGACGGGUGAGUAACACGUGGAUAAUCUACCUAUAAGACUGGGAUAACUUCGGGAAACCGGAGCUAAUACCGGAUAAUAUAUUGAACCGCAUGGUUCAAUAGUGAAAGACGGUGUUGCUGUCACUUAUAGAUGGAUCCGCGCCGCAUUAGCUAGUUGGUAAGGUAACGGCUUACCAAGGCAACGAUGCGUAGCCGACCUGAGAGGGUGAUCGGCCACACUGGAACUGAGACACGGUCCAGACUCCUACGGGAGGCCGCAGUAGGGAAUCUUCCGCAAUGGGCGAAAGCCUGACGGAGCAGCGCCGCGUGAGUGAUGAAGGUCUUCGGAUCGUAAAACUCUGUUAUUAGGGAAGAACAAAUGUGUAAGUAACUAUGCACGUCUUGACGGUACCUAAUCAGAAAGCCACGGCUAACUACGUG